GAUGAAGAACGUAGUGAAAUGCGAUACGUAAUGUGAAUUGCAGAAUUCAGUGAAUCAUCGAAUCUUUGAACGCACAUUGCGCCUGCCAGCACUCUGGCAGGCAUGCCUGUUCGAGCGUCAUUUCAACCAUCAAGCCCUAGGCUUGCGUUGGAGCCCUGCGGCUGCCGCAGGCCCCUAAAAGCAGUGGUGGGCUCGCUAUCACACCGAGUGCAGUAGAUUACUCUUCGCUCAGGGCGUGUGGCGGGUUCCAGCCGUGAAACCCCCUACUUCUCAAGGUUGACCUCGGAUCAGGUAGGAAUACCCGCUGAACUUAAGCAUAUCAAUAAGCGGAGGA
rnacentral:misc_RNA from 1 species